ACGACGCAGUACGGCAUAAGCUCAAAUGUCCGUUGGGGCCAGGUGAGCUAAAAAAUACUAAUACACUAAUUAGUAUUUUUGUCUCAUUUGGGAUAGGUAUCGAUGGUUCUCUGUCGGCGAGCUAUUGUUGCAAUGUACAUAUACGGAAAAUGUACUUAUGUUUUGUUUGGCAGAUAUAUGGCGAUGGUAUCUUUUGGUUUUUGUUGGAAGAUAAUAGAGUGCCGUAGUAUUUUAUUUUUUGUGCAGUUUAUAGAUGUGCGGAUUGUUUGUGUUAGGCAGAUAUAUGGCGGUAGUGGCUUUUUUAUUAUUUGUGCAGAUUUAAAGAGGUGGCACUUUAGUUUGCUUUGUUUAGCAAAUAUAUGGUGGCUAUAUGCAAGCCAUGAUCAGUGUAAUACUGCGCUUAUGUAACUUGGUUUAUGGACACUCGAGAAUAAAGGAUCCGAGAUCAUCCGUGCAUGACGCUGCGCAUCGACACUGCUGUUGUGUUUUAUUAACAUUCCACGUCUUCCUUCCAUCAGCUCGUACCUGGUUCACGUGAAGUACAGUCUUAGUCGAUUCACAUCACCGCCAGCAUUAUGAACAGGAUGCCGAAAUGUCAAGGCGGACAACACCCUGUGUUUUCACUUUGAAUUUGGUAUUGUGGAUGAGGAUCAGCUAGAUCUACUGGAAGAAUAGUUCAAUGAAUGUAGAAUGUAACUUUUACAUCAUUAAAAUAUUUAAGUUCUAAUUUAA